UGCUCGGGUGUUUGAUACAUUAAAUUAGUCUUUAGACUGUAAUCAGUGUGGUAGCUCAGCGGGUUGGACAUCGUCCAGGGAAACAAACAUCCAGGUUUGCUUCCCUUGUACCCUUGAGCAAGGUACCUCUCACUAGCUCUGUGUGGCGGCUCACUGCUGUGGCACUAAUAAAACCAUUCUUAUUCUUAUGAAGUUUACUUUUGACUAUUUCAAUCAUUUAAAAUGUAUAAAUUUCUCUAAUUUUCCAUUAUAAUAAAUGUUUGUGUGGGCGGCAUGAAGCCUUUUUACAGGUGUUUAGGCUGUGACUUGUGGUUGUGUCCUCUCUGUUCACAGCUGAUAAACCAUCCAUUCUGGUGGUGAUGCAUCACACCUUCAACCAUGACCACGUUGUAGCUGAAAGCAGGAGACUGGUGACCAAGUCCAACGUCCACCUCACGCUGGACUGUUUGUUCAAUGGGCGUCACUUCCUGGAUUGUAAACGUAACGAUGCUGCGUGGGAUGAAGUCAAGAAGAAACUCGGAGUUUAUGAUAAUGAGGUAAUUACUGGAUUUAACUGUAACCAAACUUAACAUGCAUUUUAGUGAUGGAUCAACAUGAUGAUACAGGUCAUCUGAUAGAAAUGAUACCUUUCAUUGCUUUUUCUAUACUGCAGGAACUUUCCUUAAGUUGGAGUCUCUUGAAUUGGAGUAAGUGUGACGUUAAAUAAGUUAACUUAAAUUUUAACUUUCAUGUUGUUUAAUAUGCUUCAUUAUUCUUAAUGGUUGUGUUGUUACAAUCUACAGUUGGCUUCAGGCUUCUACUGGCUUUAGUUUUGGAAGCCAGCUGCUGCAAAUCAACAACUGCAUCCAAGUCUGCUACAGAUCAGGCUCCAGUGUUAAAGUCUGCUACAGAUCAGGAUCAAGCUUCCGAAUCUGUUCCACAUCAGGAUCAAGCUUCAGAAUCUGUUCCACAUCAGGAUCAAGCUUCAGAAUCUGUUACACAUCAGGAUCAAGCUUCAGAAUCUGUUCCACAUCAGGAUCAAGCUUCCAAGUGACUUCACUUUGUCAUUGUCAAAUCAAAGUUCUGUUAAACGGCUUCUAUCUAAAAUGGAUAAAAUUAAGUAAUUUUAUUAGCUCAUUUUUGUUUUUUGUCUUUUUUCUAAAACUUUUUUCUCCAGUAAUUUAAGUAACCAGUGUGGAGGUUGCAGUGUUAAAGUGCAGGUGUUCCUAUUGAUUAUUCUAUAUAUAACACAGUGUUUUAGUGUUUUAGCUAAAUACAUUUUGCGAUAAAGACAAGUUUGCAUUAACAUUUUGUUGUAGAAGUUCCCACUAGGCUCAAUGAGUCUGCUGGUUUCAUCUGAACAUAGAUCUUGAAGUUUAGUAGUUUAGUUACAGCAUUUUCAAACAAAAACCAAGAAUAAAUCAAUGACUAAUAACUCUGGUACA
rnacentral:lncRNA from 1 species